rnacentral:lncRNA from 1 species
GGUACCUCAGCUGGUAAACAUCUCAGCAGGGCGAGUAAUGAAUGGGGCUCCUUGAGCUGAGUGCUGGCAGGCAAUGAGUGCAGAGACACAGGUGACCAGGCCGAGCGUCACUGAGAUUUGUAGAUUUGGACCUUGCAACAUUCAGUUGCUUUCUGGUACGGCACAGGAAAUGCAGGCAGCAUGGGGCUGCGGGGAGGCUGCACCCAAGCUCAGGGAAAGGCCCCCUGUUGGAGCAGCGCUGCCAGCAAAGUAAGGUGAGCUCCUCUGUGUGCACAUGGAGCGAUGCCCCAAAUGCCUUUGGGAAUGAUCUUCCUCUGUUAGCUGCCUUUGUACCAUCCGCUCUGCACCUACACUCCAUAGAUGUGUCUUGGGUCCACAAACACUGUCUUUGUGGGACCACCCUCAUGCUAAAGCAGCGAUGGCCUCACCCUGUUGUUGGCACCAUGUAGCUCAGUCCCAAAAUUACACAGGAUUUUGUUUGGGAAAUUACUUUUCUUUUUUUCUCUCACUGAAUUUGAGAAAAGGAUUGGGCUGAACUCCUGUGCAUGUUGGGCAGGUUUGACUAGGAAUAUCUGAGUGACACACCUGGCUCUAAUUUUAUAAGGCAACCCAGUCUGAGUCCUCCAAGUCCCAGGUGUGCAGAUCCCAAGGGAUGCAGUGUUUGGGCCCCAUCAGCCAGCAACCAGAGCUAUUUACAUCUCAGUAACAAAAUACAAGGUUUGAACAUUCAGCACAUACAUUCAAUGGAAACAUUACCUAGUUCUCUGUGAACCCUUCCAAGCAGGUUCUCAAACACUGCCUCAUUUCUCUUUCUUGCCAUAUCUCUUCCAAAGCCUACAGCUGUAAGCACUAUCCCUCUUGCAACCAGUCAAAAGGAGCAAUGUUUGCCCUGCCAAGAUGCUCGGGAUGCCCCAUGCCAACCCACCACCAGCUCUGAUACAGCAGCACCAAGCAGUCCCAUGG